GUGCUUGCUUCAGCAGGACAUAUACUAAAAUUGGAAUGAUUCAGAGAUUAGCAUGGCCUCUGUGUGACGGUGGCUUGCAAAUUCAGGGUAUUUCAUAUUUUAAU
ensembl:snRNA Rnu6-65 RNA, U6 small nuclear 65